AUUGAACGCUGGCGGCAUGCUUUACACAUGCAAGUCGAACGGUAACAGGCCUUCGGGCGCUGACGAGUGGCGGACGGGUGAGUAACGCGUAGGAAUCUGCCUCAUAGUGGGGGACAACGUGGGGAAACUCACGCUAAUACCGCAUACGCCUACGGGGAAAGCGGGGGAGUCUUCGGACCUCGCGCUAUGAGAUGAGCCUGCGUUAGAUUAGCUAGUUGGUAGGGUAAAGGCCUACCAAGGCGACGAUCUAUAGCUGGUCUGAGAGGACGAUCAGCCACACUGGGACUGAGACACGGCCCAGACUCCUACGGGAGGCAGCAGUGGGGAAUAUUGGACAAUGGGCGCAAGCCUGAUCCAGC
rnacentral:rRNA from 1 species